rnacentral:rRNA from 1 species
CCUACGGGUGGCAGCAGUGAGGAAUAUUGGUCAAUGGUCGCGAGCCUGAACCAGCCAAGUAGCGUGAAGGAUGCCUGCCCUACGGGUUGUAAACUUCUUUUAUAAAGGAAUAAAGUGAGGCACGUGUGACUUUUUGUAUGUACCUCAUGAAUAAGGACCGGCUAACUCCGUGCCAGCAGCCGCGGUAAUACGGAGGAUCCGAGCGUUAUCCGGAUUUAUUGGGUUUAAAGGGAGCGUAGAUGGGUUGUUAAGUCAGUUGUGAAAGGUUGCGGCUCAACCGUAAAAUUGCAAUUGAUACUGGCAGGCUUGAGUACAGUUAAGGUAGGCGGAAUUCGUGGUGUAGCGGUGAAAUGCUUAGAUAUCACGAAGAACUCCGAUUGCGAAGGCAGCUUACUAAACUGCCACUGACAUUGAUGCUCGAAAGUGUGGGUAUCAAACAGGAUUAGAUACCCGAGUAGUC